GCCUCUAUGGUUCAGCGGUAUAUCCCUCUCCGAGCACGGCGUUGUUCAUUAUCGAGAGAUAGAGGGUUCGAAUCCUUCGGGAGGCG